rnacentral:lncRNA from 1 species
AACAAAACUACAUGGUUUAACUAUAUAUAGUGGAGGGAGGGUGGGUAUUUUCAAAAUACUUCUCUCUGUAUUGUAAUUACACGUCUGUUCACUUGCAGCUCAAAGUUAAAAAGAACGCUAACGUCAAAUUGACGUCACCACUAUACAUCUUAUCGACUACAUAUGAAUUUAUAAAGGAAAGCACUGCAACGGACGAGAUUAAAACUUUCCACUAGAAUAACCGAAUUUAUGUAUAUUACAUAAAUUCUAUUAUUCGAGAUGGCUUGUAAAACUAAGAUUUAUUGGCAGUAUUGACCACAGCUUUUUAUUAUUUACACAAAUUUAAAUAUGUACACAUAUAGAUUCAACGAUAUAUAUUGUUCAACUAGAUAGA